AGAACGACUCUCGGCAACGGAUAUCUAGGCUCUCGCAUCGAUGAAGAACGUAGCGAAAUGCGAUACUUGGUGUGAAUUGCAGAAUCCCGCGAAUCAUCGAGUUUUUGAACGCAAGUUGCGCCCGAAGCCUUCCGGCCGAGGGCACGUCUGCCUGGGUGUCACGC
rnacentral:rRNA from 1 species